rnacentral:rRNA from 1 species
CAGAAAGUGCAUCUAAGUCCGGAUUGGAGUCUGCAACUCGACUCCAUGAAGUCGGAAUCGCUAGUAAUCGCAAAUCAGAAUGUUGCGGUGAAUACGUUCCCGGGCCUUGUACACACCGCCCGUCACACCAUGGGAGUGGGUUGUACCAGAAGUAGAUAGCUUAACGGAAACGGGGGCGUUUACCACGGUAUGAUUCAUGACUGGGGUGAAGUCGUAACAAGGUAACCGUAGGGGAACCUGCGGUUGGAUCACCUCCUUACCU